rnacentral:snoRNA from 1 species
AAGUGAACACGAGUCGCUGGUGUAGAGAAAAACAUCCACUUUAGCUAGUGCUUUUUACUUGUUCGCAGAAUAAACAAUACUUUGCCCAAGCAUAACCCAAAUUGUAACCCAUUAAAUUUGCGGUGCAUAUUUUAACUGCAAAGCCUACAAUU